GGAGAGGUGGCUGAGUGGUCGAAAGCGCUCCCCUGCUAAGGGAGUAAGGGCUUAAAAGGCCCUUCGAGGGUUCGAAUCCCUCCCUCUCCGCCA
rnacentral:tRNA from 1 species